AGAGAGGCGGGUUAAGGAAAGCCAUGUGAAGUCAGACACAGUGUAACUAAGACUGAGUCUUAGAGUCUACUCCUGGUACGCCCGCUGCAGCCCAGAAUCUUCCAAACCAGCAGCCAACCAACAGCAAAUACACGGCAGAGUGCAGCUCUCCCAGCACAAAAUGUGCAAAGGCAUUUUUAAAUCUCCUUUCCUUCGAGGAGAGACACUUCUGGAAACAUUAGAUACGGCCAGAUCCUGGGAAUGUGACUCCUUGUUGCCCUGCCUCUGCCACUGGAAGUCCUGCAUUAAAGGCUCACCCUUGGAAGGCUCCAAUAGCUUUUCCCCUCCCCCUAGAUACUACCUGCCCAGUGACAGCAGAAAAACAGAGAAG
rnacentral:lncRNA from 1 species